GCGGGGGUGCCCGAGCUAGGUCAAAGGGGGCGGACUCAAGAUCCGUUGGCGAAGGCCUACCGGGGUUCGAAUCCCCGCCCCCGCA
rnacentral:tRNA from 3 species